UGUUAACAGUAGAGGUAUUGGAUGUUAACUGGAGGAGACAUCUAAACAGUAGAGGUAUUGGAUGUUAACAGUAGAGGUAUUGGAUGUUAACAGUAGAGGUAUUGGAUGUUAACAGUAGAGGUAUUGGAUGUUAACAGUAGAGGUAUUGGAUGUUAACUGGAGGAGACAUCUAAACAGUAGAGGUAUUGGAUGUUAACAGUAGAGGUAUUGGAUGUUAACAGUAGAGGUAAUGGAUGUUAACAGUAGAGGUAAUGGAUGUUAAUAACAGUAGAGGUAUUGGAUGUUAACAGUAGAGGUAUUGGAUGUUAACAGUAGAGGUAUUGGAUGUUAACAGUAGAGGUAUUGGAUGUUAAUG